GGGAAUUCGCAUUUUGUCUCUUCAUAGGCUUAGCCGGUUGAUCUCACCUCAACUCAUAAUAUUCGUUAUCAAAUUUUACAGCUUGUCAACGUAUUUACGUUAAUGGUAAAUUGCGUUCUUACGAAGCCGCGCUAUCGAAUAAAGAUAAAAAGACCAUUACCUCAACGGUUGUGAUUGCCAAUAAUGUGUCUGUCAUAGAAGAUGUUGGUGGUGGUGAAGUGAAUGAAAAUAACGUCAAAAUCGUUGCCAACGUCGCUAGAACUAUCUCUGUAAAAGAGAAGGAUUGCUCAUUUGAUGCCGCAACACAUUUUUCAACGAUAAACAAAGAAGGUGAACCUGUUGAACAGACCACUUUCCAUCAUGUAGUCGCCUAUGAUGCUGAUCUACGUAAAUAUAUUGAAAAGCUUUUGUCAAAAAGCGACAAAGUGCUCAUCUCCGGCAGUAUAGGGCAUUUGGCAAAAAUAAACGAAGCUGGAAAAAAAAAUACAUUCAGGCUUCAUUCGUGCCAACAGUAUUUCGAAAAUAGCACGACGAGCAAAAUCUCUAGAUACAUCGACUGAAAGUGGAGAAUCAAAAGUUGAAAAUUAAAAAAAAAAAAACAAAUGGAAAUUAUAUUUCUUUAUAUAAAAUAAAAUAGAUUCAAUGAAUGUUAAAUGUAAAGUCAAAGAGUUGGUUUUGUUGUUCUUCUAUCAAGCGGUAGUUGCAUAUAUAUAAUUAUAAGGUCAAGCGCUACGCAUAACAAUCAGUCUGCCCUGUUCUGAAAUUUUCGUCCGCUUUUUUAAAUCGAUCCUCGGCAACGCCACUCUUCAAAAACU